ensembl:lncRNA
AUGUCUGACUCUCUCACUGGGCACCUGGACACCCCGCUGAGCAGCUACUCUUCUCCUCUCAUGAGCCACUACCCCAACCCUCAUCUGGCCUCCCCAAAAAGUCAGGGCCUCCGUUCAAUGCUGGGCUCCACCACCGGCCAAAACCACAGACAACAGAGCCAGUACAUGGCCACCACCAGGAGGUCUCGCAGCACUUUACAACGCCAGAGAGGCAUGGAGGAGGAGGAAGAACUGGAAGGGGAAGGAGAGGAUGAAGAAGAAGAUGAAGAGUUAGAAGAGGAGGAAAUGUAUGAAUCAGAGUUAGAGGAGGGUCAGCACACCAGCAGGCAGUCUUAUGCUGCUCAAUAUGCUGAGAUGCGCAGAUGGCAAAAGUAACAUGCUGUACAUAGAAACACAUUCACAUACACAGACACAAGUACUUGUACGUAGUGCUGUCACUGUGUGGAUAAAAACUACCCGUUUUGUAGAUGUAGUUUCUUCCAUACUGAAAUGGAUAUGCUGAUGACUGUACAUAUACCUUUCCACAGCACUUCUUUACAUGAUUGUUGUCACCAAAGUGCAGUCUUGAAAAAAAUGUGUUGAUAAUGCUAUUAAUGUAAAACUGAAUUUCUUAAAAUUAGGCUUGUUGUCUUUACUUUUCCUUGAAUAUUAAUCUUGAAAGUAGAAUGUGGCUCUCAGAUGCAGAUAUUUUUUGUAGUGUUCUGAUGUUUUUUUCACUCAAUCUUACUUCCCCAAAACCAUGGAUUACAUGUUACAUCGCAGAUGGCUGUCAGUGGUUUGAGGGUGAAAAUACUCACUGUUGUCUCAUUUCAGAUCACUUUUAUUCCUGCCCUGUGUCCCUCCAUCUGUGUUAUUUACCUUGAUUAGUUUGACAUGUUCCCUGUUAGUUUUAACCCCCUUGUGUUAAGGUCAGAAUUUCCUUUUUGAAACUUACAACUUUUCCAGGUGCACAAUGCCAAACAUUUAAAAAAUGGUUGACUAUAACAGAAUUAUGUUACUUUUCUGUAUACACAUGUGAUCCCUCAGCAGAUUAGCCUACUUGCAUAUACUGCACAGUUUAAACAAAAUGGAGUAAGUAAGUACAUUUAUUUUAUGGCACUUUUAUACUUGGAAACCUGUCUAAAUAUUGUAUUCACAAGACUAAUACAAAUACUGUUGACUAGAAGUUCAUCCUCCCUCUCCCAUGGGUGCUGCCAUUGUUUUGUGACAUUAGACAACUGGUCCCUCGUGAAGGCAAGUUGUCAAGUGGGGUUUCCGAAUUCAAUUUCAGUUUUAAUUUUUCUUGUAGGAUGGUGGAAAUCUUUCAAAAUUGUUUGCGACUUUGUUGUCCCUUCUCAGUUUGUGUUAGUACACCUGAGGCUAGCAUUACAGCUCUUUUUUUCCUUAUCCUGUGCUAAUUGACUUACACUUUUACUCCUCUACAGCCUGAUUUAAGAUACCUCUGCCUUUGUUCUCAGACUGAUUUUCUGUGCAUUGAACAACUGCUUCAAUAAAGACUUUUUCCAUCCAUCUUCUCUGAGUACUGAUUCGCACACUUUAGUACUUGCUUUGUUAGAUUACAUUCAAUGCCAGCAUUUUUCACUAUGUACAGUGACAACAUUUUGUCCAAUUUUGGCCACCUGUAAUAUUGCAAGUAUGAUGCAUUUUACUGCAGGACUGAUAAACC